rnacentral:rRNA from 1 species
AGGAUGUUGGCUUAGAAGCAGCCAUCAUUUAAAGAAAGCGUAAUAGCUCACUGGUCGAGUCGGCCUGCGCGGAAGAUGUAACGGGGCUAAACCAUGCACCGAAGCUGCGGCAGCGACACUGUGUGUUGUUGGGUAGGGGAGCGUUCUGUAAGCCUGUGAAGGUGUGUCGUGAGGCAUGCUGGAGGUAUCAGAAGUGCGAAUGCUGACAUAAGUAACGAUAAAGCGGGUGAAAAGCCCGCUCGCCGGAAGACCAAGGGUUCCUGUCCAACGUUAAUCGGGGCAGGGUGAGUCGACCCCUAAGGCGAGGCCGAAAGGCGUAGUCGAUGGGAAACGGGUUAAUAUUCCCGUACUUGGUGUUACUGCGAAGGGGGGACGGAGAAGGCUAUGUUGGCCGGGCGACGGUUGUCCCGGUUUAAGCGUGUAGGUGUGUGUUCCAGGUAAAUCCGGUUCACUUUAACACUGAGGCGUGACGACGAGGCACUACGGUGCUGAAGCAACAAAUGCCCUGCUUCCAGGAAAAGCCUCUAAGCAUCAGGUAACAUCAAAUCGUACCCCAAACCGACACAGGUGGUCAGGUAGAGAAUACCAAGGCGCUUGAGAGAACUCGGGUGAAGGAACUAGGCAAAAUGGUGCCGUAACUUCGGGAGAAGGCACGCUGACACGUAGGUGAAGUGAUUUACUCAUGGAGCUGAAGUCAGUCGAAGAUACCAGCUGGCUGCAACUGUUUAUUAAAAACACAGCACUGUGCAAACACGAAAGUGGACGUAUACGGUGUGACGCCUGCCCGGUGCCGGAAGGUUAAUUGAUGGGGUCAGCGCAAGCGAAGCUCCUGAUCGAAGCCCCGGUAAACGGCGGCCGUAACUAUAACGGUCCUAAGGUAGCGAAAUUCCUUGUCGGGUAAGUUCCGACCUGCACGAAUGGCGUAAUGAUGGCCAGGCUGUCUCCACCCGAGACUCAGUGAAAUUGAACUCGCUGUGAAGAUGCAGUGUACCCGCGGCAAGACGGAAAGACCCCGUGAACCUUUACUAUAGCUUGACACUGAACAUUGAGCCUUGAUGUGUAGGAUAGGUGGGAGGCUUUGAAGUGUGGACGCCAGUCUGCAUGGAGCCGACCUUGAAAUACCACCCUUUAAUGUUUGAUGUUCUAACGUGGACCCGUUACCCGGGUUGCGGACAGUGUCUGGUGGGUAGUUUGACUGGGGCGGUCUCCUCCUAAAGAGUAACGGAGGAGCACGAAGGUUGGCUAAUCCUGGUCGGACAUCAGGAGGUUAGUGCAAUGGCAUAAGCCAGCUUGACUGCGAGCGUGACGGCGCGAGCAGGUGCGAAAGCAGGUCAUAGUGAUCCGGUGGUUCUGAAUGGAAGGGCCAUCGCUCAACGGAUAAAAGGUACUCCGGGGAUAACAGGCUGAUACCGCCCAAGAGUUCAUAUCGACGGCGGUGUUUGGCACCUCGAUGUCGGCUCAUCACAUCCUGGGGCUGAAGUAGGUCCCAAGGGUAUGGCUGUUCGCCAUUUAAAGUGGUACGCGAGCUGGGUUUAGAACGUCGUGAGACAGUUCGGUCCCUAUCUGCCGUGGGCGCUGGAGAACUGAGGGGGGCUGCUCCUAGUACGAGAGGACCGGAGUGGACGCAUCACUGGUGUUCGGGUUGUCAUGCCAAUGGCACUGCCCGGUAGCUAAAUGCGGAAGAGAUAAGUGCUGAAAGCAUCUAAGCACGAAACUUGCCCCGAG